rnacentral:rRNA from 1 species
UACGUAGGGGGCUAGCGUUGUCCGGAUUUAUUGGGCGUAAAGAGCGUGUAGGCGGCCAGGUAGGUCUGGUGUGAAAACUCGAGGCUUAACCUCGAGAUGUCAUCGGAAACCAUUUGGCUAGAGUCCGGAAGAGGAGAGUGGAAUUCCUGGUGUAGCGGUGAAAUGCGCAGAUAUCAGGAAGAACACCAAUGGCGAAAGCAGCUCUCUGGGACGGUACUGACGCUGAGGAGCGAAAGCAUGGGGAGCGAACAGG